rnacentral:lncRNA from 10 species
GGAAGUAUCGGCUGCCAGAUAGGGAGCUGAGACUUCAAGAAGCUAAAUAAGGUGUCCAACACCACAGAGCAUGGAGCAAAGGACACGGGACUGCAAAUCUUCCUAACUCGUGUGCUCAUCUGGCUAUCUCACCAGGGCCUUAAAUUUAAUAUAUCCCAAACUGAACUCAUCUUUACCCCUUCCCACUUUGCACUCCUCAAAUGUCCUUGUUUAAAAUAGUUACCUUUAUCUUUCCUAACCCAGAAACUCAAAACCUGGCAUCAUCUUUGACUUCUCUCUUUACCUUCACAUUCAACAGUUUCCAAGACUUAAAGGCUUUAUUUGUAGGAUCUCUACCACUGAUCCUCUACAGUUUCACACCUACAUCCCAUUCUCGUUCCCAAAUCCCCAUAACUCCUCUCCUGGCCCAUCCCUUAACACUGAAAUCCUGGCUUGGAAAAUAUGGUCACAUUCACAGCAGCUGUCCCCAAGAAGGAAGCCAAGGCAACAGUAUGCACAAUGAAAUCACUCUGGGAGAAACUCACUGCCAUGUUGUGACAACACUAUGGAGACGCCCAGAACCUUCUGCAGGCAAGACUGGAAAGUCCACCCCUGGUCCCAG